AAAGUUUGUUGUCGAAGGUGAUCUGCCUGUUUCAAGACAGCAUAAGCCAAUGAAAGCUGGUUCACAAAGCCCUCCAGUGCUUCCAACUUUUCUAUUGCAGCAGCCAUCUGAGCCUGGUAACUUCCACUACUUGUUAUAUCUGCUGCUAUGCUCCGGGCCAGGAUCUGCUGGAGUUCAUCAAUUCCUUGCGAGAGAGCAUCUUCGGCUUGCUGAGAUGAUUGUCGAAGGUUACAAACAUCCACAAGUUGCUGAUCAGUCAAAGGCUCAAGUUGUGACAUGAGAACAUUGAGAAGCUCUGAUGGCCGGAAUCCUCCAAUCCAUUGAAAAAAGCGUUCUAAUGAUGUUCUCCACUUGCCAGAAAUCAGAUAGAAGACAUCAGCCUUUGCAGCAGCUGCUUUCAUGCGGAAAAGGUUGUUAUAGUGGUUCAAGCCAUUUUCCACAAGUAUCCGAAGCUCUAUGUCAGUGAUACGAGCUUGCAAUGCACUCCUAAGUUCAGAAAUCUGUUUAUGUUGCUCUUCAAUCCAAUGCCCAUAUUCUAUUUCAAAUGUAGUGAUUCCUGAAUUUAGAGUUCCAGGCAGUCCUAAAUGACUAGAAUCUGGUGCAAUGCUAAUGUAUACACCCUGUUGUUCCUGCUCCAACUGCACCAACUUCAAACGGCUAGAUUCUAGUUGUUGAACAUAGGCCUUUUUCCGCAAACGACUUCUGCGAGCAGCUUCACGAUUUUGUGCCAAACGUCUCAGUACCUUAUCAGCUGGUUUGUUUGCUUCUUGAUCACUUCUGGAAGGUUCCAUUGAAUCCUGAGAAACAUAUUCAGUCUUGUUGUUCAGCCCAGAAUCAACCUGCACAAUUGUGGAUGAACCAAUAUUUAGACUACCAUCACCUCUGAAGGGGUCUCCCCAAGAGCUCAACUGGUGGAAUGGCUCAUAAAUGCCCAU
rnacentral:misc_RNA from 1 species